rnacentral:misc_RNA from 1 species
ACACCUCAACUCUCAUGGCUUGCCAUGACGAGCUUGGACUUUGGGGGUCUUGCUGGCCUGCGGUCGGCUCCUCUCAAAUGAAUCAGCUUGCCAGUGUUUGGUGGCAUCACAGGUGUGAUAACUAUCUACGCUUGUGGUUGUCUGCCGAGUAACCUUUGGUGACAGAGGUUUGCUGGAGCUUAUAAAUGUCUCUCCUCAGCGAAGACAGCUUUUUGAUC